GGUAGAGUGAGCUGUAAUCCAAUAUUACUAGUUUCUUUAUAAGAAGAGGAAACUAGUAAUGUUGGAUUAGGGCUCACUCUACU
ensembl:miRNA